rnacentral:rRNA from 1 species
GACAGAGGUGCCAAGCGUUAGGCGGAAUCACUGGGCUUAAAGCGUGUGUAGGCGGAUCGUUAAGUGUCUUGUGAAAUCCCACGGCUCAACCGUGGAACUGCUCGACAUACUGGCGAUCUUGAGCAACCUAGGGGCGAGCGGAACAAAUGGUGGAGCGGUGAAAUGCGUAGAUAUCAUUUGGAACGCCAAUGGUGAAAACAGCUCGCUGGGGGUUUGCUGACGCUGAGACACGAAAGCCAGGGGAGCGAACGGG